rnacentral:rRNA from 1 species
GUGGGGAAUCUUGCGCAAUGGGCGAAAGCCUGACGCAGCCAUGCCGCGUGAAUGAUGAAGGUCUUAGGAUUGUAAAAUUCUUUCACCGGGGACGAUAAUGACGGUACCCGGAGAAGAAGCUCCGGCUAACUUCGUGCCAGCAGCCGCGGUAAUACGAAGGGGGCUAGCGUUGCUCGGAAUUACUGGGCGUAAAGGGCGCGUAGGCGGACAGCUUAGUCAGAGGUGAAAGCCCAGGGCUCAACCUUGGAAUUGCCUUUGAUACUGGCUGUCUUGAGUUUGGGAGAGGUGAGUGGAACUCCGAGUGUAGAGGUGAAAUUCGUAGAUAUUCGGAAGAACACCAGUGGCGAAGGCGACUCACUGGCCCAAUACUGACGCUGAGGCGCGAAAGCGUGGGGAGCAAACAGGAUUAGAUACCCUUUUAGUCC